UACGUAGGAGGCGAGCGUUGUCCGGAAUUAUUGGGCGUAAAGAGCUUGUAGGCGGUUUGUCGCGUCUGCUGUGAAAAUCCGGGGCUCAACCCCGGACUUGCAGUGGGUACGGGCAGACUAGAGUAUGGUAGGGGAGACUGGAAUUCCUGGUGUAGCGGUGAAAUGCGCAGAUAUCAGGAGGAACACCGAUGGCGAAGGCAGGUCUCUGGGCCACUACUGACGCUGAGAAGCGAAAGCAUGGGGAGCGAACAGG
rnacentral:rRNA from 1 species